UACGUAGGCAGCAAGCGUUGUUCGGAGUUACUGGGCGUAAAGAGUGCGUAGGCGGUCCUGUAAGUUUGGUGUGAAAUCUCCCGGCUCAACUGGGAGGGUGCGCCGAAGACUGCAGGGCUUGAGUAUGGGAGAGGUAAGCGGAAUUCCUGGUGUAGCGGUGAAAUGCGUAGAUAUCAGGAGGAACACCUGUGGUGUAGACAGCUUACUGGACCAUAGCUGACGCUGAGGCACGAAAGCGUGGGUAGCAAACAGG
rnacentral:rRNA from 1 species